UAUUGCCCUCUAGGGAUUACCCAACACGUGUUAUCUCUUAGAUGAGGAUUCUUCUCACUAGAAUCAACAAAUCGUCUCAUAUCCAGAUUAACUUGGCUGGAUUUUCAUCAAGCGGAACUAUUUUGAAGUUUCUAUAUGGAACCGACCUCAGGGUCAUAUUUUUGGUUCCCACCGAGGAGUCGAUCUCGUCACCCGACAUGGUUUCAUUUCUUGGCACAUCGAGGUCAACUGUGUCGAUGACGAGGGUAAGGGUCUCCUUUAUGUUUUUUCCAAAAGAGCAAGGGUGGUUGCUUGGGGUCCUUUAAGAUUCUCUCAUAUAUUAAGUGGACUCCAGGUAAGUCAACCAGAAUAACAAUUCGUUAACGGAGCAGUUGUGGUAUUUCAUCUUCAGGUGGACACUAAAAGCUAUUGCAUCUAGUGUUGUGAGAAAAGACCUUCCUAAGAUGCAUUUGUAAAAACUUUCACAAGGGAUUACCAAGAAUCACAUAUUCAUUGUUCUCUUAUCUCUUCCUUAUCCUAUGAAAAUCGACAAUUCAUUAGUAUCACAAGGGCAAGUGACAGAGUCAUUUAACUCCAGGAGAUUUCCACCUUCAUAUCGUGUUAGGUCCUCUUUGCCUAGCCCUAGUCCCACAAAAAAAUGUUGGCGUACAUAACAUCGCAUGAAUUUUCGUCGUCGAUAAGGAUUCUUGAGAUUGUGUAAUUAUUCACAAUAGUAGUCACUAUUGACGGAAGUGUCGUGUUAGGGAUCCCUUUCAACUUUUCGCUAUCUCAGAACCUUAGGAUGUGCCUUCCUUUCUUCUAUUUCCCUUCUGUUAUCGGAGAUCUUGAGGAACUCUUAACUGAAAAUUUCUUGUCCAACUCCUUGUUGGAUGAUCCUCCGUCAAUGGGGGAAAAGGACGAGGUUUACUGGUGAUCUUGAAAUUGAUCUUGAAGUUGAUGCAUGAGAGGUUCAUUCUUCUUCAUUAACGAUUUCAUUCAUUCUUCUCCAUUCUGCUUUGCUCUUUUAUUCUCGAUCUCCGUUCACCGCUCAUUCCUUCUCCGACGAUGCAACCCUGCUUAAGGUAACCCCCUAAACCAAGAGAUUCACCUAUAUUGUGUUCUUAUUUAUAUGUUUCUUUUCUUGAUUGACCAAUUCAAAAUCAAAAUUAAUUUGGCUGUAAGUUUGUAUGUCUAUCUCUUGAUUUUGAUUUCAAAUCACCGUUAAACAAAUGGGGAAAACAUUCUAAUAUUUCAAAUCACAGGAGGAUAUUGCAAUUUGGCUAAUUAUACAGUUGGUAAUUCAUUUCAUGACCAUACAACUAGCUCUUACGCUGUUCUUGCUUUUAUAAUAGUUAAAAGACUGAUUUUUUAUCACUUGCCUUAGUAGUUUAGCACAUCCAUAACAACACAAGGCUAUGAAGUUACUUCGAAAGGUGUGAUACUGUGAGUACAAGGAGACCCAGGAUUGAAAGUUUUUGUUAAAACAUGGUUUUCUGUAUUUGUGUUGAAUGUUGUUCUUUCAAGUCUGUGGCAGGAUAUACUAUCUGGAAAGGUUGGAUGAACAAGAACCUUAAAUGUGGCUUUCAGUCACAAUGAUUGAGAGGUAGAAGAAUCCCAACAACGUUAUUAGAAAAACAAGAAUCAAAGCGAGUGAAGAAAGAGAAUGGUUGAAAUCAAAAGAUUAUUUUUAGUGGGCUUGGCUUUUCUAAUGUAAUGAGUAUUGCUUUCUGUUUCAGGCCUUAGGCUAUUGGCUACUACAUUUUAGUUGAUGACUCUGGCCUCUUAAUGUUCAACUUCAUCACAGUCUUUCAUUCUUCAUUAACAUUAGAGAACAACUUGAUAUUGCAAAUAAGGAAGCCAUGGAUGGAUCUGUUGAAUGGAUGCUAAACUAUGAUGUGGAGGUAGAUAGGGGGAAUAAGUGUUUCAAGAAACUUCCAGGGGGCUCCUCUUAGAAAGCCAAUGAUGCUACUAGUAUUAACCAUAGAUCGGUAACCUUACAAAAGGAUGCACAUUGGUGUCGGGCUAUAUCGAGUUGAUUCUAGAAUUAGCAGUGUAAUAUUGAACCAACUUUGUGCAAAAUUAAAUUCUUUUACUUAACUUUUGUAUUCAUUAACUCUAUAUUGCAACAUAUAUUAUGAUAUGGUA